AAUUCCUGCAGCUGGGCUUGCUGCGACACCCUUUGAACUGCUGUGGCCCCAGCUGGUUCCCUUAAUUAGUCGGGGUAUCUUUCCCGCCUCAGCUUGGUGCAGUUUCUUCAGCAUCUCCGGGCUAGAAUAUCAUCUGUCAGCUAAAACAGCUUUUAAGAGCAAAUGCUGUGGUGAUAAUAACUUCCACUAAACAGAAGUACACACUGCAACAAGAAAUAAAAAUCCUCAUGAUUGGUCCUGCUUUUAAUAGUUUUGAUUGAAAAGCAGUGGACUGAUGCAU